GAUGAACGCUGGCGGUAUGCUUAACACAUGCGAGUCGAACGGACACUUCGGAGUUAGUGGCGGACGGGUGAGUAACGCGUGAGAAUCUGGCUUUGGGUUCGGGACAACCACUGGAAACGGUGGCUAAUACCGGAUGUGCCGAGAGGGAAAAGAGAAAUCGCCUGAAGAUGAGCUCGCGUCUGAUUAGCGAGUUGGUGAGGUAAAGGCUCACCAAGGCAGCGAUCAGUAGCUGGUCUGAGAGGAAGACCAGCCACACUGGGACUGAGACACGGCCCAGACGCCCACGGGAGGCAGGAGUGGGAAAUUUUCCGCUAGGGGCGAGCGCCUGACAGAACAGUAGCGCGUGAGGGAAGGAGGCUCUUGGGUUGUAAAGCUCUUUUCUUAGGGAAGAACAGAAUGACGGUACCUAAGGAAGCAGCAUCGGCUAACUCCGUG
rnacentral:rRNA from 1 species